GCGAUGUUAGCUCAGUUGGUUAGAGCACUGGUUUGUGGUACCAGGGGUCGUGGGUUCGAAUCCCAUACUUCGCCCA
rnacentral:tRNA from 1 species